GACGAACGCUGGCGGCGUGCUUAACACAUGCAAGUCGAACGGAAAGGCCCUGCUUUUGUGGGGUGCUCGAGUGGCGAACGGGUGAGUAUCACGUGAGUAACCUGCCCUUGACUUUGGGAUAACUUCAGGAAACUGGGGCUAAUACCGGAUAGGAGCUCCUGCUGCAUGGUGGGGGUUGGAAAGUUUCGGCGGUUGGGGAUGGACUCGCGGCUUAUCAGCUUGUUGGUGGGGUAGUGGCUUACCAAGGCUUUGACGGGUAGCCGGCCUGAGAGGGUGACCGGCCACAUUGGGACUGAGAUACGGCCCAGACUCCUACGGGAGGCAGCAGUGGGGAAUAGUGCACAAUGGGCGGAAGCCUGAUGCAGCAACGCCGCGUGCGGGAUGACGGCCUUCGGGUUGUAAACCGCUUUCGCCUGUGACGAAGCGUGAGUGACGGUAAUGGGUAAAGAAGCACCGGCUAACUACGUG
rnacentral:rRNA from 1 species